UGGGGAAUCUUCCGCAAUGGACGAAAGUCUGACGGAGCAACGCCGCGUGAGUGAUGACGGCCUUCGGGUUGUAAAGCUCUGUUAAUCGGGACGAAUGGUUCUUGUGCGAAUAGUGCGAGGAUUUGACGGUACCGGAAUAGAAAGCCACGGCUAACUACGUGCCAGCAGCCGCGGUAAUACGUAGGUGGCAAGCGUUGUCCGGAAUUAUUGGGCGUAAAGCGCGCGCAGGCGGAUUGGUCAGUCUGUCUUAAAAGUUCGGGGCUUAACCCCGUGCUGGGAUGGAAACUGCCAAUCUAGAGUAUCGGAGAGGAAAGUGGAAUUCCUAGUGUAGCGGUGAAAUGCGUAGAUAUUAGGAAGAACACCAGUGGCGAAGGCGACUUUCUGGACGAAAACUGACGCUGAGGCGCGAAAGCCAGGGGAGCGAACGGG
rnacentral:rRNA from 1 species